rnacentral:rRNA from 1 species
AAUGAACGUUGGCGGCGUGGAUUAGGCAUGCAAGUCGAGCGAGAACUAGUAGCAAUACUGGGGAAAGCGGCGAAAGGGAGAGUAAUACGUAGGUACCUACCCUCGGGUCUGGGAUAGCUGCGGGAAACUGCAAUUAAUACCGGAUGACGUCUCUGGACCAAAGGUGUGAUUCCGCCAGGGGAUGGGCCUGCGUCCUAUUAGCUAGUUGGCGGGGUAAUGGCCCACCAAGGCUAAGAUGGGUACGGGGUGUGAGAGCAUGCCCCCGCUCACUGGGACUGCGACACUGCCCAGACACCUACGGGUGGCUGCAGUCGAGGAUCUUCCGCAAUGGGCGCAAGCCUGACGGAGCGACGCCGCGUGCGGGAUGAAGGCCUUCGGGUUGUAAACCGCUGUCAGUGGGGAGCAAAUGCAUCAGGGUUCUCCCUGGUGUUUGAGCGAUCCGCAGAGGAAGCACAGGCUAAUUCCGUGCCAGCAGCCGCAGUAA